rnacentral:rRNA from 1 species
ACACGACUACAUUAGAUACCCGGGUAGUCCCAGCCCUAAACGAUGCGCGUUAGGUGUAUCGGUGACCACGAGUCACCGAGGUGCCGAAGGGAAACCGUGAAACGUGCCGCCUGGGAAGUACGGUCGCAAAGGCUGAAACUUAAAGGAAUUGCGGGGGAGCACCACAACGGGUGGAGCCUGCGGUUUAAUUGGACUCAACGCCGGGAAGCUUACCGGAUAAGACAGCGGAAUGAUUGCCGGGCUGAAGACUCUGCAUGACCAGCUG